UAUUAACUCGUGAUUAAUCUUUUGUGUUGUUGCAUGAUCCUUUGAAAUGUUUUGAGUGAUUUAAGGUUAAGUUACUACUGAUUCUAAGUGCUUUGGAAGUUAAAGUGCAAGUUGCCACCCACACUUUAGCCAGACAAAGGAGUCAGCCAUCUUGUAUUCAAGACUCCAUUUUGAAUCCAUACACACGCACACACACUACUCCUUUGUGAGAACAAAGGACCCCAUUCCUACAUCCUACAUACACACAAAACACCUUGAACAUUAUUUUGAAUAUACAUCCUUUUAUUAUAUCACAUGGUUAUUAUUCAUUUAUGCCACUGUUUAUUCAUUUGACAAAUUGUUAAUUAAACGUUAUAAAAUUCAGAUUUUCGUCUCCAGUAGCUUUGUUGUGUCGAAGAGAAGUCUCUGCUCCAAGGAUUCUACGAACUUCAAGAAAGACUGAUAAGAGUUUUGGAUUCAAUUUUUCCCCGGAAAAAGGGGAAUGGUGCCCCGUAUAUCUAAGAAUAUCUUAAUUAAUUAAUAAAUCAGUAAAUAUUCCCAUAUUUACAGAAUUUAUUGAAGAAUCCAAAAGUAAGUUGAAGCUUACUAAUUGUUCGCUCCUAAUAACCCCAACAACCCUUAUCGGAGUUAUUGAGUUAGAGGUACAACAGCAUCUCGGUGCCACUGAGAAGGAAUCGGACAAGCAGGAAGUGUUGAAGUCGAUGUUCAAAUGUAAUGGAAAAAAAAUCCAAAACAGAAAAAUUGCUGAAAGUAUGUUUUGGUUUUAUUAUUGUAAAAUAUUCUGGGUGUUUUUUUAUUGAGUAAACAUUUGCAAUAGGCCUGUUUCCACGUCCGGGUAGUUUUACCGGACAUUCGCGGUCUACGUGCGUCUCCCAUUUGUAAGCAAAAUGGAAGAAAGGUGACUCAAAGACCUUAGUCUUUUACAAGAGUUUCAAAAAUACUUGUGUACUUCUUAUGAAAGCUUAUAAAAAUAUUUUUCCACCAACAUUUUGAUUUUAAUCUCAAUAUUUCCUCAUUUUUUCCUGUAUUUUCAGUGUCUGUAAUGUGGCCUAACAUAAGAAACUUACAACAACCAACAUUACUCUGGAAAAAGAUCAGAGUGGAAAGGCAACAAAACAUGAACUUUUAUUAUUUCAUCACUUUAUAGCUUGGAUUUAUUGCUGAAAUGAGAAACUUUUACAAAACUUGAAAAUGUGUAAAAAAACAAAAAACAAAAACAAAUAACAAAAAAAUUAAAGAAUGUAAACAAGUAAAUACAUUUUAAGUACAGGGAUAAAUAUUGUAAUGCAUGAUACAAAGUAUUUGUUUUAAAAUAUCAUCUUGAAGUAUUUAAGUAAGUUUACUUUAAACAGUUAUAAUUCUUUCAGAAAGUCUAAAGAGCUAGAAACUAAACGACGAACGGUAACAUAGACAGGUUUCAUGAUUCUCUUUAUAUCUCAGUUUCAGCACCACUGAAGCCAGCUGAGGGGAAUCCUCAGACCAGAUCCAAAAGUCCUGGUCAUCCACUCGUCGCUCCUGUCUACCAACCCGCUCCCUUUCCGGUUAACGUUCCUCCGCAGCCAACAUAGACAACUUCACAGCCAUUUCAACAGGACCAGCAAUUUCCCAGGCCUUGAUUUUUCCCAGGAAAGAAAACCAACGAGAAGAGUGGUGGUGGUCAUCAGCCUCCUAACAAACAAGGCAAAAGGCCUCCAAGUUCUCAAGGACACAAGCCUGAUGGAAAAGAUAAACCCAGAACCCAUCCGCCUUCGGAGAAGUCUGCUGGGCACAAACCCCAUCCUAAAAAUAAUCCACACCCAAAGAAAAGCAAGUAGUGUCUGUAACUAGUUUGCUGCUGGCUUCUGCAGACGUUGAUGUAACUCAGAUUUGUGUCAGUAACGUGGAUAAUGGCUGUUUUGGGUAUAUAAAACAAGAUCAGACGUAACUUUUUG